CCUACGGGAGGCAGCAGUGGGGAAUAUUGGGCAAUGGGCGCAAGCCUGACCCAGCAACGCCGCGUGAAGGAAGAAGGCUUUCGGGUUGUAAACUUCUUUCAAGAGGGAAGAGCAGAAGACUGUACCUCUUGAAUAAGCCACGGCUAACUACGUGCCAGCAGCCGCGGUAAGACGUAGGUGGCAAGUGUUGUCCGGAUUUACUGGGUGUAAAGGGCGUGUAGCCGGGCUGACAAGUCAGAUGUGAAAUCCCGGGGCUCAACCCCGGACCUGCAUUUGAAACUGUUGGUCUUGAGUAUUGGAGAGGCAGGCGGAAUUCCGGGUGUAGCGGUGAAAUGCGUAGAUAUUAGGAGGAACACCAGUGGCGAAGGCGGCCUGCUGGACGACAACUGACGGUGAGGCGCGAAAGCGUGGGGAGCAAACAGGAUUAGAUACCCGGGUAGUC
rnacentral:rRNA from 1 species